GCAAGGGGGUCAUCCCGACUUACCAACCCGAUGCAAACUGCGAAUACCGGAGAAUGUUAUCACGGGAGACACACGGCGGGUGCUAACGUCCGUCGUGAAGAGGGAAACAACCCAGACCGCCAGCUAAGGUCCCAAAGUCAUGGUUAAGUGGGAAACGAUGUGGGAAGGCCCAGACAGCCAGGAUGUUGGCUUAGAAGCAGCCAUCAUUUAAAGAAAGCGUAAUAGCUCACUGGUCGAGUCGGCCUGCGCGGAAGAUGUAACGGGGCUAAACCAUGCACCGAAGCUGCGGCAGCGACACUAUGUGUUGUUGGGUAGGGGAGCGUUCUGUAAGCCUGUGAAGGUGUGCUGUGAGGCAUGCUGGAGGUAUCAGAAGUGCGAAUGCUGACAUAAGUAACGAUAAAGCGGGUGAAAAGCCCGCUCGCCGGAAGACCAAGGGUUCCUGUCCAACGUUAAUCGGGGCAGGGUGAGUCGACCCCUAAGGCGAGGCCGAAAGGCGUAGUCGAUGGGAAACAGGUUAAUAUUCCUGUACUUGGUGUUACUGCGAAGGGGGGACGGAGAAGGCUAUGUUGGCCGGGCGACGGUUGUCCCGGUUUAAGCGUGUAGGCUGGUUUUCCAGGCAAAUCCGGAAAAUCAAGGCUGAGGCGUGAUGACGAGGCACUACGGUGCUGAAGCAACAAAUGCCCUGCUUCCAGGAAAAGCCUCUAAGCAUCAGGUAACAUUAAAUCGUACCCCAAACCGACACAGGUGGUCAGGUAGAGAAUACCAAGGCGCUUGAGAGAACUCGGGUGAAGGAACUAGGCAAAAUGGUGCCGUAACUUCGGGAGAAGGCACGCUGAUAUGUAGGUGAAGUCCCUCGCGGAUGGAGCUGAAAUCAGUCGAAGAUACCAGCUGGCUGCAACUGUUUAUUAAAAACACAGCACUGUGCAAACACGAAAGUGGACGUAUACGGUGUGACGCCUGCCCGGUGCCGGAAGGUUAAUUGAUGGGGUUAGCGGUAACGCGAAGCUCUUGAUCGAAGCCCCGGUAAACGGCGGCCGUAACUAUAACGGUCCUAAGGUAGCGAAAUUCCUUGUCGGGUAAGUUCCGACCUGCACGAAUGGCGUAAUGAUGGCCAGGCUGUCUCCACCCGAGACUCAGUGAAAUUGAACUCGCUGUGAAGAUGCAGUGUACCCGCGGCAAGACGGAAAGACCCCGUGAACCUUUACUAUAGCUUGACACUGAACAUUGAGCCUUGAUGUGUAGGAUAGGUGGGAGGCUUUGAAGUGUGGACGCCAGUCUGCAUGGAGCCGACCUUGAAAUACCACCCUUUAAUGUUUGAUGUUCUAACGUUGACCCGUAAUCCGGGUUGCGGACAGUGUCUGGUGGGUAGUUUGACUGGGGCGGUCUCCUCCUAAAGAGUAACGGAGGAGCACGAAGGUUGGCUAAUCCUGGUCGGACAUCAGGAGGUUAGUGCAAUGGCAUAAGCCAGCUUGACUGCGAGCGUGACGGCGCGAGCAGGUGCGAAAGCAGGUCAUAGUGAUCCGGUGGUUCUGAAUGGAAGGGCCAUCGCUCAACGGAUAAAAGGUACUCCGGGGAUAACAGGCUGAUACCGCCCAAGAGUUCAUAUCGACGGCGGUGUUUGGCACCUCGAUGUCGGCUCAUCACAUCCUGGGGCUGAAGUAGGUCCCAAGGGUAUGGCUGUUCGCCAUUUAAAGUGGUACGCGAGCUGGGUUUAGAACGUCGUGAGACAGUUCGGUCCCUAUCUGCCGUGGGCGCUGGAGAACUGAGGGGGGCUGCUCCUAGUACGAGAGGACCGGAGUGGACGCAUCACUGGUGUUCGGGUUGUCAUGCCAAUGGCACUGCCCGGUAGCUAAAUGCGGAAGAGAUAAGUGCUGAAAGCAUCUAAGCACGAAACUUGCCCCGAGAUGAGUUCUCCCUGACUCCUUGAGAGUCCUGAAGGAACGUUGAAGACGACGACGUUGAUAGGCCGGGUGUGUAAGCGCAGCGAUGCGUUGAGCUAACCGGUACUAAUGAACCGUGAGGCUUAACCUU
rnacentral:rRNA from 1 species